rnacentral:siRNA from 1 species
UGAUCAGAAGGUCGAGGU